rnacentral:miRNA from 2 species
UAGGUCACCCGUUUUACUAUC